rnacentral:rRNA from 1 species
AGUGAACGCUGGCGGUAGGCCUAACACAUGCAAGUCGAACGGCAGCACAGUAAGAGCUUGCUCUUACGGGUGGCGAGUGGCGGACGGGUGAGGAAUACAUCGGAAUCUACUUUUUCGUGGGGGAUAACGUAGGGAAACUUACGCUAAUACCGCAUACGACCUACGGGUGAAAGCAGGGGAUCUUCGGACCUUGCGCGAUUGAAUGAGCCGAUGUCGGAUUAGCUAGUUGGCGGGGUAAAGGCCCACCAAGGCGACGAUCCGUAGCUGGUCUGAGAGGAUGAUCAGCCACACUAGAACUGGAACACGGUCCAGACUCCUACGGGAGGCAGCAGUGGGGAAUAUUGGACAAUGGGCGCAAGCCUGAUCCAGCCAUACCGCGUGGGUGAAGAAGGCCUUCGGGUUGUAAAGCCCUUUUGUUGGGAAAGAAAAGCAGCAGGUUAAUACCCCGCUGUUCUGACGGUACCCAAAGAAUAAGCACCGGCUAACUUCGUG